CCCUGGCCUAGGUUGGGGCUUUUCAGCUGCGUGGUUCCGCGGUUCCGGGAGGCCGCGGCCAUUGCCUGUGGUUUCCCGCGAGGUUUCCUUCCUUCUGCUGCCCACUCAGCCCACUCAGGAGCCGGCUUCUCACACUGGCCAGGCGGAGUAAACAAUUAGGGCAAGAUUUGGGGGGCUGCUCAGAGUUGGAAGCUCUUUUCGGUACCGGAAGGAAGAGGACACACAUGACCUCUCGCUUUCCUCUGCCCGCACAGCAGAUGCUGCCAACGCACUCUAGCACCCGUUUCUUGCCCCCGCGCGCUCGGAGGAAGCAAGAAUUUCUCUUAGGGUCUUGGGGGAGGUUGCGCAGAGGGCGCACCAGUCAGCUUCGGGCCGCUGCGUCCUCGCGCACGCGCCGCAGCGGCCUCCUCGGCAAGCUCAGGUCUCAAUGUGCCGACCACAGGGUGGCGCCAGCGGCCUUCCGCGGGACACAGGUCAGAGAGCUACCGCAGUGGCCUGUCCAUCUCGCAGCCAGGUUCCAACCGCUAGUUAACUGUGGAGCUAAAAAAAAAAUGUAUUAAUGACUUUCUUAAGUACCUGAUUUACAAUAUUCUAUUCUAUUUACAAUAGAAUAUGUACAAAAUUCCAUUCUAUUACAAUAGAAUAUUUAUGAUCGAUGAGUGGCAAGCAAAUUUGAGAACUAAGAAAACUAUGAAUACUCAAUGGGUUUAUAAUAUUCGGUUUUGGGGGGGAGCGGGCGGGGGUAAAUAAAUGAAAUGAUUUCUUCUCAAUUAUUUGAGAAAAUAUAAAACACCAACUUAUCUUCAAUGUACUCCUUUUACUUGAAGAUGUACCCUAGCCUAUUGUGAUGCAGCCGGAUUCACGGACGAGUAGAUCAGCCAAGCGCUUUUUGGUUAUAGUAUAAGGAAGAGGGAAGGUCUUGAAAUGAAAGUUGUUGUAAAUUCUGCCCUACCUCUACUAUGUACCAGGACUCAGAACAUCUCAACAUGGGCCAGUGUAUCCACUUCUAACACAUAGCUUUGCCCCUAACACCCAUGAGUAAAAGAUAAAAAAAGACACAAAAGUUUA